rnacentral:lncRNA from 1 species
CAUGAUGCAGAACUUGCCUAGGAUUGCAACUGGAGAGGUACGUUCGAGUUUCCAAUCUCCUCACGGUUUGACAUCGCCUCCUAUGUAUACAUCAACCGCAGGUUAUAUGACAUCUCUGAGCCCGUUUUACAAUCAUAACUUUCAGUCCUCGGGUAUGUACCUCCCUCAGUAUAAUUACAGCGGUUACCCUCCUGUCUCUGGCGUUGUCUCUCAGUAUAUGAGUGGAUACCCAUCUCAUGAAGCUACCAUUCCUAUGCCAUAUGAUAUCUCAUCGCCUUCUUCGGGCUACAACAACUCCUUCUCUCGUGGAUCCUUUUCACCUACUGCACAGAACACUCCUCUCGUGGAUCCUUUUCAGCUGCAAUAUUAUCAACAGGCUCAAGCAGAGGCAUAUGCUCCUUCUAAUAUGUACCUCAGAGCUGCAACUUUUUUUAGAAGCUUCUGAAUUGUUAUGUCUUCACAUGGAUAAUGGAUAAUUACGAAUACAACAACACAAUAUUGUAACACGAUACUAUCUCUAUUAUGCAAUACCUCUAGAUAAACUCUAAAAAAGUUUAUAAUUAUCUCCUCUCAGAAAAUCUAUACUACUCUAUAAAACUCGUGGUAUAUUUUAAGAAAAUCUAAAUUCUUUUAAAAUUAGUUAAAUUGUUUUUACAAUAAAAAUCAUCAAAAAUCUUCUAAACUCACAAACCAAUAAUAGCCCCUAAGACUACGAGCACAAAUCUCCUUGUUCAAUUCGUUCAAGAGAGGCCUAAGUAGCUCCCUAUUAAUAGUCUUAUCAAGUUUUAUCACUUGAGAAUUUGUUUCAAAGAGAGACUUCCACCGGGGAAGAAUCUCAGACUCUAUUGCUUCCCUAGCAAACCCAUUUGCCUCUGAAACAUCCUUGACAGACCCCAAAUUCUCCUCUAGCUUCUUCAGCUCUUGGUUGUAUUGCUCAAAAACAGACGGUUUCACCAGGCAACCAAUUUCGAGAGUGGAAACAAUGUGAGCUAAACCUCUGAUGGCAGAAACAAAAUCUUGUCGAAACGUCCCCAUCAGUUUUGAUUGAGUGGAUUUUCCGCCAUCGAUGUAGACGAGAUUCUUGGGUUUGAUAUAUGUUGCAUACACUUGUUGUAUGACACGGUACAAUCGUCUUACCGCGGGACCACGACGAUCCAUCUUUGUUUUAAACAAUGUCAAAAAACAGAAGUACGUCAUAGAACGUCUGUCAUCGGAUAAUAUGAACAUUGCUUCAGCCAUAAAGAGGGAGAGCUCAACUCCGAGUCGCACAGCUUCUUCUUUCUGCUCCUUCUCUUUGCUGACAUCAUCAGUAGUCCUGUAAAUAAAUAAAUAAAUAUAAGAAAAGUAAGGGAUUUAGACUUCCUCUCAAAGGGAAUGAAUAUCAUCACUGACCCAUUAGUGAAAGGGGAACAUCUAGACUGUGGUAGUCUCUUUGUGUGACGGAUAACACGGUCAGUCAUCUGUUUCAAGAUACAAAUAAUCAAAUUCAGAGUCAAAAUUUCUUAUCUAAAUCGAGCAAUGUAAAUAUAUGGAGAAGAACCCUAGAUCGUAACUGUAGCCUCUAAUUUUUUUAUCGACUGAAAACUAACGAUUCGAAUCAGGGCUUAUCGAUUCCUUUUUAUCCAUUUUUUUGUUGAGACGGUCAAAACUGAACCUCUGUUUACGGUUUUAGCAUUUAUCUAUGUAGAUAAAAAUAAUCUCAACCAUUCCCACAAUUAUCUCAACCGUUUUUAGAAUUUUAAUUGAUGGACAAAUCUAAAAAUAGUUUUGUAGUAUUAUAAAAUUUGACUAGAAUGAUCAAAAACAAAAAAAAAAUUGACUAGAAUAAUCACUAUAUACACAAAGAAUGAUAAAUAAUAUUAUAUUUACAUAAAAAACGUAUUUUGUAAAAACAAUUUGGAAACUUAUUCAUGUAAAACCAAUGUCAUACACUCUUGUGGAGAGGGAAAACUAGUUAUUGUAAAAUUACUUUUCGAAUUUAAUCUUUUAGCUUAUAAAAUAGGAUACAAAUGACAAAAGUCAGAAUCGUUUUCUCAAAAAAAUAUUAAUUAAUUAAAAUAGCAACUUUUAAAAAUUGCUUAGAUUUGCUUUUAAUAUUACAAACUAGAUUCCAAUUCACACUUCUAAAGUGUGGAAUUCUUUUUUUUUUGUAAAAUUUAGUUAGAGAGUUGAUAUACUUUUUGUUUUUUUUAUCUAAUUUAUAUUUUUAUUAUAACUAAAUUUUACAGUUUAAGUUGUAAAAAUUAUCUCAUCAAAUCAGUAACAAUAACAACAAUAUAUUAAUAUCUACAAACUUCUCCAGGAUAUUUUUGGUUUUUAUUUACAAAAUGUAAUUUAAUUUAAACUAUCUAUCUAUACUAUUAUUUAAGAAUUGAUUUCGCUUAUUUAUUACAUUUUCCAUGAUUUUAGGAUAAAUCACUAGUUCAAUUAAUUUAUAUUAUUAAAAAUAUUUUAAUAUAUAUUUAUUUAUCAUAUAACUAAACUUAUUUAUGAUUAAGUUAUUCUUUAAUUUUUAGUUUCAAUUGUUGUAUAUUUUGAUUUACGUUACUAAUUUUAUUUGACAAUAUAUACAAAAUGUUCUUUGAAUGAUUAUUUGAUCAACGGACCGAAGCAUAUGGCCUUUAACAGAUCAUGGAUCCUACACAGUUGAAAGCGGGUACUGGUUGGCAGCCAACAAUUUAACGCGUCUAUGUCUGCUUUAUCUCUAGUUGAAAAGACGGUCAUUGAUCCGAAGAAGAAGAUUUGAAAAGUCAAAACUCUGCCUAAGAUAAGAAUGUUUAUAUGGCGAGCUGUCUCUAGAACGUUAGCAGUAGCAGAUAGACUUCAAACAAGAGGGGUGCUGAUAGACAUGGAAUGAAAGCAGUGCAACAAUGAAAUCGAGUCUAUAAAUCAUGUCUUGUUUGAGUGUAUUCCAGCGCAAGACAUUUUACGGAUUGUUAACUUUCCUCCGUCUACAACGCCAGCUAGAAGUCUCGGUGAUAAUAUGAAUAUAGCUCUGAAGUUAAUGGCUGACUGUUCUGUUCCCGGAAACCUCUAGGAGAGCCAUUCCAUGGCUGCUAUGGACGAUAUAGAAGAACCGCAACUCCAUCCUAUACGCUGGCACACAAACUGCUAUAGAUUCUGUAAUACUCAUAUUUUCCAAAAUAAAAUAACAAAUAAUGAUCUUGAAAUCUUUAUUUAUUAAUCUUCAUGAAUCAUCUCCAAACACCAUAAAUCUAAUAAAUAGCAAUAAAUCCAGAUAAUCGAAUAAAUUCCAAAAAUACAAUAAAAACAUAAAAUUCGUAAGUCAAUAAAAGAAAGAAAUAAAACGUCCAAAAACAUCAAUCACUCAUGUGAGUCAGUCUCAGUGUUUGAAUGGGAGCACAUGAUAAAGACAGAUCUCAUGUCCUGUUUUUAUUUUCAUAUAUUUUCACCAUUCACACUUUUUGGUAUGAUAAACUUAAAAAGUAGGAAGACUGCAUUGGAUACUAAUUUUUUGUCUUCUUGUGAUAAAAGGCAGGUGUCCUGCAUUUUCUUCUUCCCGCAUAGAAAUAGAAGCUGUACAUGCAAUGCUUCUUUUAAUUAACCAAUAGGUGAAUUUCUAAUUUACAUUAAAUUUAAAGUAUUUAUUUAUAUCUAAUAUAAAUAACAGAUAUCAACACACACCAUUGAACUCAUUCAUUCUUGAGAAUAGACAUCAAUGUAUGCUUCUCUCCUUUUUGUCAAAUCUACUUUACUUUUUUCCUUUAUUUUAUAUCACUUCAUUAUAGCUAAUUUAGAAAUUUUCUUUCUAUUGAUUAAUAGGAAAUCACGGCUGAGAAAUAUGGCAUAGAGCAAGAGUCAAAAGACAUUAAAAGAGACAAGCAUUAGGUUUUACCUAUUUUCCACUCUUUAUUACUUUCUUAGAUUUGUUGAUUAAUUUUUUUUUGUGUUGAAUCAAUUAUUUUUCAGUGUUCACUAUUAUAAUUGAGUUCGACGAUAAAGCUAUUACUAGACGUAUCAGAAGGCUUGCAUUUCUGAACCAAAAGGUAAAUUUACUUUAAUUAAUUAUUUAAAGACAAUUUAUUGUAGUUUAUAAAAAUUAAAACAAAUUUGUAAAUUUAAAUCUUAUAAAUUCAACAAACUACCAAAAUAAAAAAAUAUGGUUUUUUUAAAUGUGUGUUUUUAAAUGUUUUAGGUAAAUUAACAUAAAAAUAUCAAUGAUAUCAUUAUUUUAAACUGAAAAACUAUUUUUAAAAAAGUAAAAGUUUUAGAUUUAUCAUAUCUUGAUUUACAUCAACUGAAAUCACAAAUUAUUUAUUUCUCAUAAUUGUUUUUAAAUACUACAAACAUGUGUCCACCUUUAAUAUUAUGUCACACUGUUGAUAUAGUAUUUUAAAAAUAUUCAUUGUUAUAAAAAAAUGAAAAUUAUGUCAAUAAUAAUAUAUAUUUUUAAAAAAUCAGUAGACUAUAAGAAUUAUACAUACGUGUGUAUAUAUAUAUAUAUAUAUAUAUAUAUAUGACCAUAUUUAUUUUAAAAAAACAGGAGACUAUAAGAAUUGUCAAAAUAUUUUUUUGUAAUAAUCAUUUAAAAAUUAAAAGAGACAAGCAUCGAGCAUAAGAAAAAUUAUUUGGGUGGAAAACUCAUACUUACACAACUCACGUACAUGCAGUGAUUUACUAGUUCAGACAAAAGGCAUUAAAAGAGACAAGCAUCAUGUUUUGCAUAUUUUCCACUCUUUACUAUUUUUCUUUGAUUUGUUGAUUAAUGUUUGUUUGGUUAAAUCAAUUAUUUUUCAGUGUUCUGUACUAUAAUUGAGGUUGACGAUAAAGCUAUUACUAGACACGUACCAAAAGGCUUGCAUUUCUGAACCAAAAGGUAAAUUUAUUUUUAGUUAAUUAUUUAAGGCCAAUUCAUUAUAGUUUAUAAAAAUUAAUUUUUGAAAAUACUACAAACAUGUUAAAAAUAUUCAUUCUAAUCAAAAAAUGAAAAUUAUGUCAAUAAUAAAAUAAAUUUUAAAGAAAACAGAAGACUAUAAGAAUUACAUAUAUAUAUAUAUAUAUAUGACCAUAUUUAUUUAAGAAAAUAGUAAACUAGAAGAAUUAUCAAAAUAUUUUUGUAAUAACCAUUUAGAGAUAAAUAUGAUUUUUGUACAAAUGACUAAGAUAAUGAAACUAUUUUCAUAAUUUGUUUCCUUAUAAAUAAUAAUUAUUUUCGAAUUCAUCAUAUAUAUAUAUAUAUAUAUUUUUUUUUUCUUUCUACAUUAUUAAUAAAUAUAUAGUUUACAAAAUUUGACAAAAAAAGUUAUAAACACAUAACAUGAUAGAAUUUACUACAACAUACUUAAUGAUACAGUUGCUUAUUUUUUUUUAUUAAAUAACUCAAACUAAUAGUAUUUGUAUAAUUUAAAAAAUGUAGGUAUGACGUCUAACCGCCAACAAAACACAACAUUUUCUGAUGAAAAAAAUAUAAAUCUUCUGUCGGCGCGGGUAAGUAGUUAAUAAUAUUUUUUUAAAAAGUUUUAGAAUAGUUUAUAUAUAAGUAAAAUGAUUGAAAUUUUUAUUAAUUUAUAGAGGGGAGACAAUUUUAGAUGGACACCUAAUAGAGAACGAGUAUUUAUUGAGUUAUACGAUCGAGCAAUUGCCAUGAGCGAUUACCGUUUCAAAGAUCCUACUCCCGCUGCUAGAAAGUUUAUUGUUGAUAAGUUCAAUCAAGAGUUUAAUAUUAACGUAACAUACCACUUCUUCACAGAAAAACUUGAUCAACUUAAAAGAAAAUACAAGAAGUACAAACAUCUUAUGAAAAAUUCUACGGGCAUUUUGGUUGAUCUUACUACAUCUGUGAUAUCUGCGUCUGAUUCAUGGUGGAAAGAUCGUGAAGUAAGUACAACAAUAUCUCUUAAAACCAGAGUAUAUUUAUAAAAUUAUCAAAGCUAUAAUAUUUGUAGUCUAAAAACUAUAUAAUCAUAUUAACAGGUAGACAUGAUUGUAAAAUCAUUUAAACGAAAGCCGCCAGAGCUUUGGGAUGUGAUGCAACGAUGUUUCAUUUUAUAUGACGUCCAAUCACAGUCUCAAUACUCUUUGCACCAAAGAAGAGAAGAGUUGAUGAAUGAUGGUCAAAAUAAUGAUGAAGGUUAUUAUUACUCUGAAACAUAUGGUGGUGAUAUGCAGCACACUCAGAUUCCUGAAACGCAAGGAAAUGAAGAAGUCUAUCGCGUUAAUAUUGAUGAUGAAAUACGUCAUUCAAAUGAGUUCAUCCGUGAUAAUCUACGUCAGAAUUCGUCACCCGCUGCUGAUUCUUUUCAGAUUCCCAAUUCCAGAGUUCAACAACGAGGUGGACUAAGGCGUGGAAGUAGUUCACAAAGAGCUGCAGGGAACUCUCAGACCUCUGUCAAAAGUGGAUCCCAAGGAAGUCGAAGAAAACAAUCAUUCGAGACAACCCUGACAGAUACAAUGACUGGCUUUAGAGAGUUUCAGCGCCAAAGUUUACAACAACUACGUCCAAAUUCUUUUGACGAAGAUGAUUACAAUGAAUUCGAUACUGCUGUCAAGAUAUUUGAAUCAAUGGAGCUUCCAAAUGACACCAAUUUCUAUUGGGCGUGCAUUCAUGCAUUCAAAGAAGAAAGAUUUUGGCGCAAGUACUUUAUUGACAGAGCUGAAAGAACCACAGAAGAUAAGUUGAAGUUUUUACAAGCUCUUACUGGAUAUACACGGGACAGCAAAUUCGUGGGAAAGCGGUUAGAAUCUGGACAAAAGUUUGGUAGUCCAACUUGUGGGCAAUGGAGUUCGGGUUUUCAACAAUGGGGAACACCUCCAAAUCCACUACAAUUGGGUACACCUCCAAGUGCUCCGCAAUGGGGACCACCGCCAAAUGCCACGCAAUGGAGUUCACCUUCAAAUGUUCCACAGUGGGGUACACCGCCAAAUGCCCCACAAUGGGGUAGACCACCAAAUGCACCGCAAUGGAGUUCAUCUCCAAAUGCUCCGCAGUGGGGUACACUACAUGUUCCACAAUGGGGUGCGCCUCAAAAUUCUCAACAAUGGGGUUCACCACCAAGCACUCAACAAUGGGGUCCUACAUCCGCGGUUCCACAAUGGGGCUCAUCACCGACCACUCAUCAAUGGGGAUCAUCACAAGAUGCUCCACAAAAUAUUCCUCCGAGAAAUGUUCAACGUGGAUUUUCCCUAGAAACAGAAGUACAAACUACAACACACGAAAAGGAAGUUCAUGUUUCCGAGAAUGUUAUUAGAGGAGUAUCACCGGAAUUUGGCUUUACGAACUGUGCUUCUACAAGUAAAGCAUCACGUCCACGAAGACGAGGUGGAUUAUUCAACAUUUUGGGAACUGAACGAGGACUCAAUCUAAAUGAAACACGAGAAAGUGAUUCCACAUCGGAUAACUAGCUUAAUAAGGUUUGUGUUUUGUUUUUAGUCAUUAUGUUUUGUUUCACAUUUUCUUUUGUGAUGUUUGUUUUGUAUUGUAUUUCUGAUUAAUGAUAUUUUUCAUUGAUUUAGUUUUUAUUGUGUGGUCAAUAUUUUCAGGCGUUUCGUAUAUGUCAGUUGCGGUCACAAAAUCCCCACAAUCUAAAUCACGAUGAAAGAAUUGAGUUAUGGAAUUUAGAAAAUGAGCAAUUCGAAGAGUUAAUAAUUCAGCCAUCAUUGAGUUAUUACAAUCGUUAUUUUGAAAGAAGACCAGUUCAAACCGAUGGUGGUUUAGGAUGGAGAAAAUAUGGCGUCGACUACAAGAAGAUGAUGCUGCAUGUCUUCAGUUACUACGAAUGUCUCUUGGUGUUUUCAGAUCUUUAUGUGACAUAUUGCAAUCAAAAUAUGGUUUACAUCCCACCCUUAAUGUAAGCAUUGAAGAGAGUGUGGCAAUGUUUUUGCGAAUUUGUGGGCAUAAUGAGGUUCAGAGAGAUGUUGGAUUACGGUUUGGACGGACACAAGAGACAGUGAAUAGAAUUUUUUUUGAAGUUCUUAGGGCGACAAAGUUACUUGCUUGUGAUUAUAUUAAGACUCCAACAAGACGAGAACUACUUCGAAUUUCUGAAAGGCAGCAAAUGGAUAGAAGAUAUUGGCCAUAUUUUAUUGGAUUUGUAGGAGCUAUGGAUGAAGUUCAUGUAUGUGUUAAAGUGAAGCCUGAACUACAAGGAAUUUACUGGAAUCGACAUGAUAGGACAUCAUUUAACAUCACGGCGAUAUGUGAUCUCAAUAUGUUGUUUACAUAUGUUUGGAAUGGAGCACCCAGAUCAUGUCACGAUACAGCAGUUCUCACGAUGCACAAGACGGCGAUUCUGACUUUCCUUUGCCUCCGGGAGACAAGUAUUAUGUAGUUGAUUCUGGGUAUCCAAAUAAGCAAGGUUUUUUGGCUCCCUAUAGAUCUUCUCGGAAUGAGGUUUUUAGAUAUCACAUGUCUCAUUUCAACAAUGGUCCUCCUCCUAAGAAUAAACAGGAACUGUUUAAUCGAUGUCAUGCAUCUCUACGUUCCGUUAUUGAAAGGACAUUUGGAGUUUGGAAGAAGAAAUGGAGGAUUUUGAGUUAUUUUCCAAGAUAUGAUAUUGCAGUUAAAAAAAUAGUGGUAAUUACUACAAUGGGAUUACAUAAUUUUAUCAGAAUUUCAAAUUAUUUUGAUGAAGAUUUUGUUGAAGAAAUGAGAUAUAUAAAUAUCAGCAACGGAGAUUCUGAUAGUGAUAUAGGCAACAUGGAGACAACAAAUAUGGCUGAUGGAGAUCAUAUGACAAACAUUAGAGACAAUAUUGCAGAUAUAUUAUGGGUAAAUCAUUAAAUUAUUUUACUUUUGUUUAUGUAUUUUUUUUGUGUUUUGAUAUUUUGGCGUAAUUUUUUUUUUAAAAUAUGAUCUGCACUUUUGAACUGUUUUUGCCAUUCAUAACUUUAAAAAAUAAUUUGUCCUGCUAUAUUUACUUCCACUAUAAAAGUGUAGCUCUAACAUCAACAACCAAGAUACCUAAACCACCACACACUACACACGAUGCGCUGAUAGUGCAUAACUAGAUCACACACUUCGCAUUCUCUUUAUAUGGAUAUAUAAAUGUGCAUCGUCGCUUGUACAGUCUGUCUCUCUACCCCGCCCACCCCAGUAACGUCGAUGGUACAAAGGUUUUUGCGCUACAUGCCCAACACAAGUAGCGUCGCUAGCCCAGAUGUCUCUGAACCCCCGCCCGCACAAUCACAGUAGCGUCGCUAGCCAAACAUCUUUGAGCCCCCACCCACGCACAUAGUUCAUACUCAUAAUUAUGUAUACAUAUAUACACAUAUAUACCAUCUUUUAACAACCACAAUCUAAUCAACGGUUGAAUCCUUUAGACUCCUAGUUCUGGUUUACAAUGAAUGAAAUAACUAUCAAUCACGACUCAUACAUGAUUCGAAAUCUAAAUUAACAUAGGAUGAAUUCUACACUAGUACGGAAUUAUGGAAUAGAUGUGCCUUGUACAACAAGACUUGGUCUAUGCCAUUACUGUCCAAGACAAUUAACCCGAAAGAUCAUGUUCGUUCCUGCGCAUGACAUAUCAGGGUUUAUGUUCCAAGGAUUGCUUGCGCUACAAGAAAUAUAGGAUGUACCACUUAAUUAACAAAGCUCAAGCUCACGGUAAUAUAUACUUCAUCUCCGAUGACAUGACUUACUCCUCCUUAUGGCUCACGAAGUCGUGAUCAACGAUGGUGGUGGUUGGUGUUAAACACCGCAGCCCCAUUUAUGGUCACGUCUUUUCUACGUCUAGUACGUAACUACCACAAGCACUGCCAACAAAAUUAUUAUAACAAAGCUUUGUCUCUGUUGAUUACAGCUAUGGUAUUUGGUGGUGAUAAUAACAUGACGUACCAAUAUUGAAGUGGUGAUCGAGAGUGAGUGACGGCGGUGGUGCAAGAAAGAGAGAUCGUGAUCUCCCUUGCUCGGAUAUAUACGGUGGUGGCUUACGUUGCCUACGGUAACAAAGACGAGGCUCUCUGGUGACGUGCGAAUCAUGGCGGUGCAGAUCUGUGGCUAGUCGUGAUAGAACGUGACGGCUCCGGUUUCACUUUCUCAUCUCGUCUUGAUCACAUUCCCACAACACCAAUCACAACAACGAUGGCUCUUCUCCAGUGAUGGAAGAGAACUUUGAUUUGAUGAGAAAAGGUGGAUGGAGAAGAAAAUGGUUCAGGGAUGGUUGAAUCUCCAUUGACUGCACAUAGCUUUAGGUUUUUUAGGAGGAGACUUAUAAUUAACAAUUAAAUAUAUAAUUAAGCAUAUGGUUUAUACAAAACCACUAAGAAAUAACGAUUUAGGUUGUGGUCCAAUAAUUAAUCAAAACCGGGUCGUUAUAGAAUCGUUGGUGGAUCAGGCGCUGGAGGAAGCUACAAUCUGGACUGGAGUUAACAAGAGUAAUGGACCAAGCUUGAUUCAUCCUUCUUCCAUAGAAAGUAUGUCAACGCUGGCAGGCUUCCCAUCACAGGCAGGGUAAAAUGCAACAUCAACUCCAACUGGAGAAAUGCGUCAUCCUUAGAUCACAAGAGACCAUCAAGUUGAUGUUCUGCAUCAUGCCCGAGACGCUUUUACUCCAUCCCCGAACAGAUUGACUGCAGAACUUCGCUGUAUUAUCUGGUCCCUUCGGAGCAGGCCCGGCCCUGGGCUAAAGCCCAUAAAGCUAUAGCUUUAGGCGCCAAAAUUAUAUACUUUAUAGGGGCGCCAAAUGUUGAUGCAUCCCUUUAGUGUAGUGGUUUGUCCGUAGCAUUCCUUCAAAUGUAGGUGAUGGGUUCGAAGCCCUUUCCAUAAUCACACGUUUUUAUAUUAUUUUUCUUUUUGAUAAUGGUAAUAAAUGAAAAGAUUUGACCAUUACAGAUUUUAAUUACCUUUCCUAACCACUUUAGUUUCCUUUAUCUACGGAUUAUAGUAAAUGAUAUUAACUUACAAAUUAAACAAAAGAUGAACUAUUAAUUUUGUUUUCUUUUUACUAAUAAUAAUAACUAAAAGAUUGGAUCAUAAAUAUUUUGAAUAUCUUUUCUAACAAAUUGACGUUCCUUUUAUAUAUGUGUUAAAAUACAUGAUAUAAAAUUAUAAAGUUACAAAAGUAAACAAAAACUAGAUUUUUUCGUUUUUCAUUUUUCUCUAUCUUUUUUUUAAGGCUUUCUUAAAAGAUAUCUUUAACAAAGAGGAAGAAAGGAUUCAUUCUUCUCUAUCUUUUUCUACCUUUCUCCAAGUUUCUAAUUUAAAAAACACAAAAAUAUGAAAUUAGCUUAUGGUGAUAAAAACUAAUUUAAAAAAAAAUUACAAACUAAAAUUGAUGUCGUUAUAUCAUAUAUGUUGUAUUUUUAUUUUCCAUAAUAUAUAUUUUAUUAUUAUUAUUGUAGGGUUGUUAAUGUUUUAUGUCUUUUGAUAAAAAAAAUUAGAAUGUUUUUAAAUUUUUUUAAAAAUAUUAGAGUAAAAAAAAUUAGAAUGUUUUUAAAUUUUUUUAAAAAAUAUUAGAGUAAAAAAAAUUAGUUAGGGGCAAUAUUUUUUUGGUGCGCUUUAGGUGCCAUAUUAAUUCGGACCGGCACUGCUUCGGAGUUUGGGGGAUUUGGGCUUCAAGGAUGUGGUGAUCGGGGUUGACAACCAGGAGGCCAUAAAAGAAAUUUCUAAUGCUUCAGCAUGGCCACGCUACAGAUCAUUUCUUGGAUACGAUUGCAGGUUUGCGCAAUAGUUUCGAAGCUGUACACUUUGAACAGGAAUCGAUGAAGACCAAUUUCAUUGCUCGGGACAUUUCUCAGAGUGUUCUUAGAGAUGGCAGAUAUCGGACCUACUUGGCGCUAGGAGGACCAGCAUGGCUGCAUAACAGGAUCAGGAAUGAAGCUCUAACCAUUGAAUGUUAAAUCUUUCCCUUAAGAUCUUUCUAUUGGUUUUUGAGCUUUGUUCUGUUUUUCAUUUGGUUGUACUUCCUUGUGAUACACUGCACUACCUCUUAAUUGAGUUCAGACGUUUUAAAAAAAGGAAUGAUUGUUUGAAGUUCAUUAGACCAAGUCUCUUUCGCCUUCGACUUUCCUUGAAUUUUCUCAAUCUUAGCUUCAUUAUCACUAGUCUUUCUCUUUAUUAUAUAUUUUCCUUAAUUUUCUCUGCUUUUCUUCUGCACCUAACUUCUCUCUUUUAGCCUUCUUAGCGUUCUCACCUGCUUCUGCAAGUGCUUUCAUUCUCGCAACCGUCUCUUUGUUUAUUAUUCCAGCCUCUCGUAGCUGUUGUUCUUUGUUUCUUUGGCUUCCUCAAUCUCAGAAUUUCAGCUGCAACCCUUGUGUUAGCUUAUUCUCCAGCCUUACGAGCACACUUGCUAGGCUCAUCAUACUCCUCUACUGUCACAAUUAGGUUUGACGGACAAUCAACAUUUUUUGUAUUCAAUUCAUGUUCACUCUUGAAAGGCCUUGAUGGCAGCUAAUGCCAAACUCUCUGAUGUUUUAGAGCAUCUUUAAUGGUAACCUUUUUUUUUUUUUACUUCAAAAAUGCGUAAAAUGAAGCACAUCUUCUCUAAUAGUUUGUUUCAUUUCUUUCUUGUAAAGGAUAUAUUCCAAGUAUAUUCAAUGUUCAUUUUAUUAUUAAUUAUUAAUAACACUUUGUACUUUUUCAUAUUUAGUAAUUUUACCUAAUUGUUUUGUUUUAACAAUAAUCCAACACAAUUAUUAUUUAAUAUAAAUUAAACAUUACUAUAUAAGAAAUUUAUUACAUAACAUGAAUAAACAAAAUAAUACCAUAUUUUGUAAAAAAAAACAUCUUACAUAUAAUUUUUUAAAUAAUUAAUAAAAGUGUUUAGAAGAAAAAUGUGAGUUUAUUUAUCUCCCAUUAUUUUAAAAAGAGUUAAAGCUCUUAAAAUGAAUAUCCUCAUGUUUUUCAAUAUAAAUAUCCAAUUAUAUGAAAAGAAUAGUCAAAAUUUUGAAAUUGAUUGGAUAAUAUUAAUACAUAUAAUUUAUUUCGACAAAAAAAAGAAUAAAUAAAAAUUAAAGACCAAUUUAUAAUUUAGAAAAUCAUGUUUACAAAAAUGAAGCAAUGAACAGUAUUGUUUCAAAUUUGAAGCACCGUUCAUUGCUUCAUUUUAAAGCAAGAAAUAAAACAUCAAUGGAGCACAGUUUGCUUCAAAAUGAAGCAAAAAAUAGAAAAUGAAACAUUAUUGGAAAUGGUCUUAGCAGCUUCAUUUUCUUUCUAAGCUGCAAAUAAACUGUUUUUCGUUGUAAUUGGUCCAGCCUUUCCCUUGGACUCAGCAAGAACAAUUUUUAUUUCGUUCCAUCCCUCCUCUUUGUUUGAUUGAGUCAUGUACUAUUUUUUUUCUUUCUCAAGUUUCAAUCUCAAGGAAGACAAGUAUACCUUUUAAGCAUUUUCCUUCAUAUGUUGUUUUCUCGAUAUUCACAUUCACUUCUUGGAGUUCCUUUUUUUUGCAAAAGGAACAAUUGUUUGCAUAAUGUAUGGACAUGUCCUGUAAUGAGAUCUCCAUUGUUACUACCAAGUCCCAUGUUUCCUCCUCCAGCUUGGAUGUUUGAUUACUGCGUUUUACAUAGAUCAAGUAACCUAAGGUGCACGCUACCACAAUCGAACGAUAUAUCGAUGUAGAUUUUAUGAUCGAAUCUACAGAGAACUAAAGAUUUAUAACACCAAAAAUACACCAGAUUUUUUAAUCUAAGCAAAUAGGAAAAUGAGAUGAAUCUAAACUAAUGAAAUAGAAUGACAACUAAAAGCAACUAUAAGAUAAACAGAAAGACAAGUUCUUAGGUCAAAGUUAUUGAUUAAAAUGAUCAAAUGCUAUCUCAUGAUGCUUAAACAAACAAUUGCUAAUUUUUGGACUUAAGAUCACUAAUUUAAGCUAAUCCACUCAUGUGGCAAUAACUCCUAUACUAAUCAAGUUCUUAACAUCAAUUCCUAUUAGUUAAUUAACAUCAAGUAUGCAUGAAUUUCAAGUCUUAAUAGUCACUAAAUCUCUAGCAUCAACUCCCGUUGGCUAAAAAAGUAACUAAAGCACAUUGAUUAGUUCAUUCAAAUAUUUCAUAUUCUUCUAGGCAUGAAACAAUGUAUGAUCUAGAUUAUAGUUUUCCAACCUUAAUCUAGCAUUAAUCACAUCAAUCAAGUAAAGAUCAUAGAGAUUAAAUCAUCCUAAUCUACUAAACCCAAAAACUCUUAGAGUAAGAACGUGACGGCUCCGGUUUCACUUUCUCAUCUCGUCUUGAUCACAUUCCCACAACACCAAUCACAACAACGAUGGCUCUUCUCCAGUGAUGGAAGAGAACUUUGAUUUGAUGAGAAAAGGUGGAUGGAGAAGAAAAUGGUUCAGGGAUGGUUGAAUCUCCAUUGACUGCACAUAGCUUUAGGUUUUUUAGGAGGAGACUUAUAAUUAACAAUUAAAUAUAUAAUUAAGCAUAUGGUUUAUACAAAACCACUAAGAAAUAACGAUUUAGGUUGUGGUCCAAUAAUUAAUCAAAACCGGGUCGUUAUAGAAUCGUUGGUGGAUCAGGCGCUGGAGGAAGCUACAAUCUGGACUGGAGUUAACAAGAGUAAUGGACCAAGCUUGAUUCAUCCUUCUUCCAUAGAAAGUAUGUCAACGCUGGCAGGCUUCCCAUCACAGGCAGGGUAAAAUGCAACAUCAACUCCAACUGGAGAAAUGCGUCAUCCUUAGAUCACAAGAGACCAUCAAGUUGAUGUUCUGCAUCAUGCCCGAGACGCUUUUACUCCAUCCCCGAACAGAUUGACUGCAGAACUUCGCUGUAUUAUCUGGUCCCUUCGGAGCAGGCCCGGCCCUGGGCUAAAGCCCAUAAAGCUAUAGCUUUAGGCGCCAAAAUUAUAUACUUUAUAGGGGCGCCAAAUGUUGAUGCAUCCCUUUAGUGUAGUGGUUUGUCCGUAGCAUUCCUUCAAAUGUAGGUGAUGGGUUCGAAGCCCUUUCCAUAAUCACACGUUUUUAUAUUAUUUUUCUUUUUGAUAAUGGUAAUAAAUGAAAAGAUUUGACCAUUACAGAUUUUAAUUACCUUUCCUAACCACUUUAGUUUCCUUUAUCUACGGAUUAUAGUAAAUGAUAUUAACUUACAAAUUAAACAAAAGAUGAACUAUUAAUUUUGUUUUCUUUUUACUAAUAAUAAUAACUAAAAGAUUGGAUCAUAAAUAUUUUGAAUAUCUUUUCUAACAAAUUGACGUUCCUUUUAUAUAUGUGUUAAAAUACAUGAUAUAAAAUUAUAAAGUUACAAAAGUAAACAAAAACUAGAUUUUUUCGUUUUUCAUUUUUCUCUAUCUUUUUUUUAAGGCUUUCUUAAAAGAUAUCUUUAACAAAGAGGAAGAAAGGAUUCAUUCUUCUCUAUCUUUUUCUACCUUUCUCCAAGUUUCUAAUUUAAAAAACACAAAAAUAUGAAAUUAGCUUAUGGUGAUAAAAACUAAUUUAAAAAAAAAUUACAAACUAAAAUUGAUGUCGUUAUAUCAUAUAUGUUGUAUUUUUAUUUUCCAUAAUAUAUAUUUUAUUAUUAUUAUUGUAGGGUUGUUAAUGUUUUAUGUCUUUUGAUAAAAAAAAUUAGAAUGUUUUUAAAUUUUUUUAAAAAUAUUAGAGUAAAAAAAAUUAGAAUGUUUUUAAAUUUUUUUAAAAAAUAUUAGAGUAAAAAAAAUUAGUUAGGGGCAAUAUUUUUUUGGUGCGCUUUAGGUGCCAUAUUAAUUCGGACCGGCACUGCUUCGGAGUUUGGGGGAUUUGGGCUUCAAGGAUGUGGUGAUCGGGGUUGACAACCAGGAGGCCAUAAAAGAAAUUUCUAAUGCUUCAGCAUGGCCACGCUACAGAUCAUUUCUUGGAUACGAUUGCAGGUUUGCGCAAUAGUUUCGAAGCUGUACACUUUGAACAGGAAUCGAUGAAGACCAAUUUCAUUGCUCGGGACAUUUCUCAGAGUGUUCUUAGAGAUGGCAGAUAUCGGACCUACUUGGCGCUAGGAGGACCAGCAUGGCUGCAUAACAGGAUCAGGAAUGAAGCUCUAACCAUUGAAUGUUAAAUCUUUCCCUUAAGAUCUUUCUAUUGGUUUUUGAGCUUUGUUCUGUUUUUCAUUUGGUUGUACUUCCUUGUGAUACACUGCACUACCUCUUAAUUGAGUUCAGACGUUUUAAGAAAAGGAAUGAUUGUUUGAAGUUCAUUAGACCAAGUCUCUUUCGCCUUCGACUUUCCUUGAAUUUUCUCAAUCUUAGCUUCAUUAUCACUAGUCUUUCUCUUUAUUAUAUAUUUUCCUUAAUUUUCUCUGCUUUUCUUCUGCACCUAACUUCUCUCUUUUAGCCUUCUUAGCGUUCUCACCUGCUUCUGCAAGUGCUUUCAUUCUCGCAACCGUCUCUUUGUUUAUUAUUCCAGCCUCUCGUAGCUGUUGUUCUUUGUUUCUUUGGCUUCCUCAAUCUCAGAAUUUCAGCUGCAACCCUUGUGUUAGCUUAUUCUCCAGCCUUACGAGCACACUUGCUAGGCUCAUCAUACUCCUCUACUGUCACAAUUAGGUUUGACGGACAAUCAACAUUUUUUGUAUUCAAUUCAUGUUCACUCUUGAAAGGCCUUGAUGGCAGCUAAUGCCAAACUCUCUGAUGUUUUAGAGCAUCUUUAAUGGUAACCUUUUUUUUUUUUUACUUCAAAAAUGCGUAAAAUGAAGCACAUCUUCUCUAAUAGUUUGUUUCAUUUCUUUCUUGUAAAGGAUAUAUUCCAAGUAUAUUCAAUGUUCAUUUUAUUAUUAAUUAUUAAUAACACUUUGUACUUUUUCAUAUUUAGUAAUUUUACCUAAUUGUUUUGUUUUAACAAUAAUCCAACACAAUUAUUAUUUAAUAUAAAUUAAACAUUACUAUAUAAGAAAUUUAUUACAUAACAUGAAUAAACAAAAUAAUACCAUAUUUUGUAAAAAAAAACAUCUUACAUAUAAUUUUUUAAAUAAUUAAUAAAAGUGUUUAGAAGAAAAAUGUGAGUUUAUUUAUCUCCCAUUAUUUUAAAAAGAGUUAAAGCUCUUAAAAUGAAUAUCCUCAUGUUUUUCAAUAUAAAUAUCCAAUUAUAUGAAAAGAAUAGUCAAAAUUUUGAAAUUGAUUGGAUAAUAUUAAUACAUAUAAUUUAUUUCGACAAAAAAAAGAAUAAAUAAAAAUUAAAGACCAAUUUAUAAUUUAGAAAAUCAUGUUUACAAAAAUGAAGCAAUGAACAGUAUUGUUUCAAAUUUGAAGCACCGUUCAUUGCUUCAUUUUAAAGCAAGAAAUAAAACAUCAAUGGAGCACAGUUUGCUUCAAAAUGAAGCAAAAAAUAGAAAAUGAAACAUUAUUGGAAAUGGUCUUAGCAGCUUCAUUUUCUUUCUAAGCUGCAAAUAAACUGUUUUUCGUUGUAAUUGGUCCAGCCUUUCCCUUGGACUCAGCAAGAACAAUUUUUAUUUCGUUCCAUCCCUCCUCUUUGUUUGAUUGAGUCAUGUACUAUUUUUUUUCUUUCUCAAGUUUCAAUCUCAAGGAAGACAAGUAUACCUUUUAAGCAUUUUCCUUCAUAUGUUGUUUUCUCGAUAUUCACAUUCACUUCUUGGAGUUCCUUUUUUUUGCAAAAGGAACAAUUGUUUGCAUAAUGUAUGGACAUGUCCUGUAAUGAGAUCUCCAUUGUUACUACCAAGUCCCAUGUUUCCUCCUCCAGCUUGGAUGUUUGAUUACUGCGUUUUACAUAGAUCAAGUAACCUAAGGUGCACGCUACCACAAUCGAACGAUAUAUCGAUGUAGAUUUUAUGAUCGAAUCUACAGAGAACUAAAGAUUUAUAACACCAAAAAUACACCAGAUUUUUUAAUCUAAGCAAAUAGGAAAAUGAGAUGAAUCUAAACUAAUGAAAUAGAAUGACAACUAAAAGCAACUAUAAGAUAAACAGAAAGACAAGUUCUUAGGUCAAAGUUAUUGAUUAAAAUGAUCAAAUGCUAUCUCAUGAUGCUUAAACAAACAAUUGCUAAUUUUUGGACUUAAGAUCACUAAUUUAAGCUAAUCCACUCAUGUGGCAAUAACUCCUAUACUAAUCAAGUUCUUAACAUCAAUUCCUAUUAGUUAAUUAACAUCAAGUAUGCAUGAAUUUCAAGUCUUAAUAGUCACUAAAUCUCUAGCAUCAACUCCCGUUGGCUAAAAAAGUAACUAAAGCACAUUGAUUAGUUCAUUCAAAUAUUUCAUAUUCUUCUAGGCAUGAAACAAUGUAUGAUCUAGAUUAUAGUUUUCCAACCUUAAUCUAGCAUUAAUCACAUCAAUCAAGUAAAGAUCAUAGAGAUUAAAUCAUCCUAAUCUACUAAACCCAAAAACUCUUAGAGUAUUACUCACUGAUUUCCAUGAAACCAAACAAACUCAUGAUAGAUUGUUAGAUAAGCAAAAGAUUAAAAAAUAGAUAAACAAAUGUUAACAAAAUAAAUCAUUAAAUCAAGCAAGAUUCAAGAUUAGAACAAAAGAAAUUCAAAUAAAAUUAAGGUUAUGUAGUUUUUGGGUUUUUAUUGCCCUUAAAUAUCUAUUUAUAGAUUUUCUAAAUCAAAUCUAAUUAACCAGAUUAAACCAUGAAAAAUCUGGAUAAAAGCUUAUUUUUAAAUGCCAAACGCAAUUUUUCCAGUCGCAAUAGCUAUCUUCCCAUCACUGCGUUUUCAUCAAUCUGCGUUUUCAUCAAUCUGCGUUUGAUCUAACAACUUUCAAGAUUUUCACCUUCCCUUCUUUCUAGAAAGCUUCAGUUGAAACCGUGGAGUAUAUGAACAAACCAUGGAAUGGAGUUGAAGAGAAAUGGAGAGCAGGGCCUCUCUUGCGUUACAAACUUACAGACCAUGGAGAGCAAUGUAAGUUAAAGACUUGACUUGCAGUUUAACAUCUCUCUUAUUUGUCAAAUUUAAGAGAUACGUAUGGCGAUGAAGAAAAAAGAUCGUGGGUCGUGCUGAGAAACUGCUGAUAGGAUGUGUUUUUUUUUCUAAAAAUUAUCUUGUUUUAAUUGAAAUUUUUUAUUAAGUUAUGCUCCUCCGCGUGUUCAGGACCGCAAUCUUCGUCGUGUUGUGGGUCGUGCUCAGCUCCUCUCUCGUUGCCACAGGCUAUUUCCUCCAUGAAUUUAACAGGCCAUGACCAUCUCUUCUUCAUCCGCCGCGAUUCAAGCUUCUACUGUCGCCGGUUCAUCAUCAACGCCUCGCCGUCGUAGCCAACGGAGAUCGGGAUCUCGGAAUCGCAGAGAAAGCUUGACCACGAGCAACCGUGGUCAACUUUAGCUUAUUUGCGCAUCUGGUCCUUUCUCUUUCAGAUAUUAUCAAAUUGACCCAGAAACCUUUGAAAAUGCUAAUACGUCCUCACGAAUCAACCCCAAACUUUCGAUUAAACAUUCUACACCUCCUCCUAAUUGAACAAUGGUCCCUCCUCUUUUGGUGGUUUUCAAAGCGGCCACAAACUUUGUAAUUUGCAAGAUUAACCUCACGAGUUUGCCCCAAACUUCUCAAACGUGCACUUUAGUUUCUGUCAAAUGCAAAUGAACAUAUAAAUGCAAUACAUACAUCUAAAUGUUUCCUAAAAUAAUUAAAAUGAACUAAAAACAAGUGUUAAAAAGCUAUAAAAACAUGAGAUAUCAAUGUUUCCAUAUGAUCAGACAAUUCAUUAAAAUAAUCAAUGAACAACGCUGAAGCACCUCACAUACAUGGAGUCUGAGUUUUCGUGGCACAUACAUAUAUAGUCACAGUCGGAGAUAUUUGCGACCGAGUUACCUUAGAGUUCGAGUGGCACGUGAUAAGCUGUGGGUGCAGACUCAGUACCGGUCCUGAGAAUAUAAGGCUAGAAGCAAACUGGAAAUCAAGGCCUGUUUAUUAGGUUAUUUGAUGCAAAUGUAGAAGGGAGGAUUUGAACACGUUACCUGGUUAUUAGAAAACAACUCUAUAGACCACUAAACUACUUGAAGCGUUUGGGAAUUAAUGGCCGGUUAAAUACUUAGAUAAAACAAGGCCCGAAGCCUAAGCUUCUAAUGCUUUCCCUCAGGACCGGUACUUGGUGCAGUUUAACUACUGGUGUAAACUAGCUAGCAGUGCCGGUUUUGAGGGUGUGCGGACAGUGCAUUUAUACUGAUUCCCACUUUUUUAAAAUAUUGUAGGGUCUAAAAUUUCUGAAAAUUUGCGAAAUAAAGUUCAAAAUUUCACAAAAAUAGUUAAUACACCUUAGUUUGUUUCUGUUUUAUAUAUAAUUUAUAUAUAAUUGCACAAGGGCCAAACAAUUUUUGAGCCGGGCAUGUAGACUAGUUGCUGGAAAUAAGAUGAAAUGAGCAGUUUUGGAGGUACAAAAAUAUUGAGCUAUGAAUGCUUGAAUAGCUGGCAUCUCAAAGUUGGUUUUGUGGGUGUUUUCACCAUCCAUGGACGGACAGCCAUCAAUUAUUAUUAUUCAAAGGUGAAUUUUAAAAAAACUCUGAAAUUAUUGAAUCUGACAUUUCAUAAAAUAUUAUGAACUUCAUUAUUAUUUUUGUUAAAAACCUGCUGACGGCUAGGACCUAGGAAUAUAUUUCCUAGUGUAAAUAUCUGGCUUCAUUGUAGUGUGGGAGUAAGAGUUAACAAGCGACCUCAAGUUUCCUUCAGAAUCGUGGUUGCUCUUUUGUGUUCGUAAUUUCCUUUUGCUUUAUUGGUUAUGAUAUUUCGUGACUUGUGUCUUUUCUUUUCAUUUAGAUAAAGUCGGUUUUCAAUAACAAAACAAAUGCUUCAUUGUGUUCGUAUACGAGAUUACUUUCGGCAGAAGGCCAUGCUCCAGACAGAGCAGAGGAUUCAUUGGUUUGUGGAAGUAGGUUGUGGCCUUACGCAGAUAUGAGGAGGGUAGGAAAAAUACCAAAACUGUUGCCACACCGACUUUUCCCAUCAGCAAGGUGAGUCUUAUGUGAUAGUGGUAACUCUCACUUUGAUUGGUCUAACUAGCACAUAAUAUAUAACUAACUUGUCACGCCAAGCCACUAGUUUUUCAUUCUGAUCAACAGAAGACAAAAGUCGUGUGGAGAUUAAAAAUAAGUUCUAUGAACAUACUGAAUGAGAUAUGCAAUACCCACCGAAAAGCUUCUCAAAUCGGACCAAUUUUGUAUCAACACACAAAGAAACUCAUGUGAGUGGUUUAUUCUUUACUAACGUUCUCGUCGUCUAUCAUAUAAAACCAUCACCUUCCUCAGACCUCAGCCUCAUCGACAUCAUCAUCAUCUUGGUUUGGGACCCCCUCGUUUUGAAUCUCCUCGUUUUGAACCAAAGCAACUUCAGCAAUGUUCUCCUGUUGCACAGCUGCACCGUCAAUUUCCGCAGCUACACCAUCAGCAAUAUCCUGCAUGUUCACGUUCUCUUUCAUAAGAGUAUUACAGAGUUCCAUGAACUAGAUUUUUAAGUUCCUUAUUCUUUGUUUUGUGUAUGUCACAGAUAAGAGGAAAGGCGUAAAACUAUACAAACGCACUGCAAAGAAUUCUACAAGACUGGUUUUAGAAUUUACCGCAUGUUCCAUGAUCAUAUCUUCACCGUUCACAACAGCAAUGCUCUCCUGUUGCAAGCAAAAUGUUCCAACCAUAAGUCAAGUAUUGAAGAGUGCAAAGACCUAGAUUUCUAAGUUCUAUGUCACAGAUCAUAGGAGAAACGUAACAUUAUAAAGAAGUUUACAAGACUGUGAGUAAUUACCGCAUGUUCCAUGAUCAUAUCUUCACCGUUCACAACAGCAAUGUUCUCCUGUUGCAAGCAAAACGUUCUAACCAUAAGUCAAGUAUUUAAGAGUUCAAAGACCUAGAUUUCUAACUUCUAUGUCACAGAUCAUAGGAGAAACGUAACAUUAUAAAGAACAAGACUGUGAGUAAUUACCGCAUGUUCCAUGAUCAUAUCUUCACCGUGCACACCAGCCUCAUCAUCUUCACUCAAAGUAUCCUCUAUCAACUGGAUAAGCGCCAGCAUUUCAGCAUCUUCAUCUUCUUCUUCUUGAACCGCCUCGUUUUCGUCGUGUUGGAGCAUCGCCUCGAAAUUUUGCUGGACGUUUGCGUUCUCAACCAGAUUAUGUGGCAUGUUCCCGUUCUGAACCAGAUUAUCCUGAACGUUCGCGUUCUGAACCAGAUUAUGAUGUGCGUUCCCGUUAGCGUUGACGUUAUGCAGCUCUGGAAAGGCGCCAUCUCCGCCGCCAUUGCCGUUGGGGUGAUUUCCAUUAGUUGAUGAAGACGAUAGGUUCUUGGCUGAGUUCUUGAUGUUAUUGUUCUCUAUUUAUGUACGUUAGUGAUAAGGGAAAGUGGAAACUCGCAACUCGAGAUUUUAAACGAGCAAAACUUGUAUUCCAAGAAUUACCAUGCAGUUCUUUGUCAAACAAAAAAAAAGAAAUACGAGGAAGUUUUCUUCUUUCUUUUUCAACUGUAUUUUAUUAGUGGCACCAGGCCUAAAAAGGCGAGGCCCAACAAAAAUAAACACAAAGGGGCCAACAGAAGCCCAAAACUAUUCAGUAACAAUUGGUUUCUCAAAUUCUCCUCAAGACUAUGUGGUUUAUACAAUCACAUGGUGAUCACACCCUCUUUACAAGAUUCACAAUGGAAUUUUCAUUGCUACUCUGGCUUAUGUGGAUGAUAAUCAUCACAGCCAGUGAAUCCUACAUUGCAGAUUCAAUUGAAUGAUUUCUUCAAGAUCACAAAGAUCUUGGUAAUCUCCAAUACUUUUUUGGUCACAAAUUGCUCGAUCCUCCAAAGGUAUUUCAGUCUGUCAACAAAAGUAUGUCUUGGAGCUCAUACAUGAUUCCUUGGUUGUAAACCAUCCUCUAUAUCUAUGGAACCUAAUCAUUCAUUGCACAAGGAUAAUACUCCUCUCUUGACAGAUGCAGAAGGUUACAAACGAUUCAUUGACGACAAGCUUUAAUAUCUCUUUUCAACUUGUCCUGACAUCAAUAUGUUGUCACUAAACUUUGCCAAUUUUGUUAGGCUCCCAGAGAGGUACGUUGUCAGGCUGCUCAUAAGAUUCUCAGAUAUCACAGUGGAAGUAUUGGAGCAGGUCUUUUCUUUUCAUCUGAUUUAGAUUGGAUAGUAGAUCCAUAUAUUAGACUAUCUGUUUCAAGCUUUUUUUAUCUUUAUUGGUGACUCUAUUAUCUCAUGGAAAAUAAAGAAACAUGACACUUUUCAUUGACCUCAACUGAGGCUGGAUAUAGAGCUAUGUGUUUUGCUACAAAGGAACUUAUCUAGCUUACCAGUAUUCUGAAGGAUCUCCAUAUACUUUCACCUUUUCCAAUUUUCUUAUACUACGCGACAGGCUGCAUUUCACAUUGCAAAGACCCAUGCCUUCCACGAGAAAACGAAGAAUCUAGACCUUGAUUGUCAUAUGGUACACGAGUUAUCACAUCAUGCUUCUUAAAGACACUCUAUGUUCGAAGUGAGCAUCAACUUACAGAUGGUCUUACUAAGCCAAUGUACCCAAUUCAGUUCAUAAAUCUCACAUUUCCAAAAUGGGACGUCUUAACCUUUUACGGUAUUGGUCGAGUAAAGUUUACUUAAUUAUUUAUUUUUGGGUUUCCCGGUUCAUUCGCAAGCGACUAGGAUUGGUGGCCAAAACUCGUAAAGCUGGUAUGCGUCUGGUUUCUUUUUGUUUUAUGUUUUGUGUUCAUUGAAAGAGUGAAAUUCAAUACUGCGUCUUGCGUAUUGAAUCAGCUCGUCUUCAUGAGCCCUAAAUCUGGAUCAAAUGCUAGUAUGGACCAUUUGUGGUCCAAAAAAUCUCAUUUAGACCCAUCUUUUUUUCUUUUCAUUUUGUAUUUAAAUUUAAAUAUAAAUUUAAGUAAAAUAACUAAAAAAUCUAAAGACUUAAACAUAUUUACUUACCCAUGCCAUUAUUAUCCGAUCCAGAAUCCGACCCACCCGAAACCCGACCCAACUAACCUAAAUCUUCUUCUUCUUCUUCUCCCUUUCUUCUCCAUCGAUAGUUUUUAUUUUUUAAAAUAAAAUCAAAAAAGUUUUUCAAUUAUCCGCUAAUUUUCCCUUUUUUAUACCAAAUCGAUCAACCCAUAAUCAUAUUCAAUCAAUUAUAACUUACCCAGAAUCAAAUUUCAUCUUUUACGUACUAGAUUCAAAAUAAAAAAAAACACAGAAUAUUACUAGUAUAACUAGUACAACUCAAAUUAGUAUAAUUAGUACAACUAAAACAAAUAUAACUAGUACAAAUAGAUUGAGUAUAACUAAUAUAACUGGUACAAAUACAAUGCGUAUAACUAGUAUAACUUUGCAGUUAAUAUGAAGAUAUUUGGUUUUUGUUUUCAGAGUAUUAAUGAUGCUAUAGAAGAUGAUAAUGCAUAACCAAUAAAAGUAUUGGUAUAAUCCUCCUGCUUAUAUGUGUCAAAAUAUGUUAAUAAUUUUUUUUCGAUAAUAUUUAAUUUGGAUAAUGACUUUGUUUUACUAGUUAUACUAGUGUACUAUUUAGGAAAAAAAUGCAUCUUCAUUCUUUAUGUUCUNNNNNNNNNNNNNNNNNNNNNNNNNNNNNNNNNNNNNNNNNNNNNNNNNNNNNNNNNNNNNNNNNNNNNNNNNNNNNNNNNNNNNNNNNNNNNNNNNNNNNNNNNNNNNNNNNNNNNNNNNNNNNNNNNNNNNNNNNNNNNNNNNNNNNNNNNNNNNNNNNNNNNNNNNNNNNNNNNNNNNNNNNNNNNNNNNNNNNNNNNNNNNNNNNNNNNNNNNNNNNNNNNNNNNNNNNNNNNNNNNNNNNNNNNNNNNNNNNNNNNNNNNNNNNNNNNNNNNNNNNNNNNNNNNNNNNNNNNNNNNNNNNNNNNNNNNNNNNNNNNNNNNNNNNNNNNNNNNNNNNNNNNNNNNNNNNNNNNNNNNNNNNNNNNNNNNNNNNNNNNNNNNNNNNNNNNNNNNNNNNNNNNNNNNNNNNNNNNNNNNNNNNNNNNNNNNNNNNNNNNNNNNNNNNNNNNNNNNNNNNNNNNNNNNNNNNNNNNNNNNNNNNNNNNNNNNNNNNNNNNNNNNNNNNNNNNNNNNNNNNNNNNNNNNNNNNNNNNNNNNNNNNNNNNNNNNNNNNNNNNNNNNNNNNNNNNNNNNNNNNNNNNNNNNNNNNNNNNNNNNNNNNNNNNNNNNNNNNNNNNNNNNNNNNNNNNNNNNNNNNNNNNNNNNNNNNNNNNNNNNNNNNNNNNNNNNNNNNNNNNNNNNNNNNNNNNNNNNNNNNNNNNNNNNNNNNNNNNNNNNNNNNNNNNNNNNNNNNNNNNNNNNNNNNNNNNNNNNNNNNNNNNNNNNNNNNNNNNNNNNNNNNNNNNNNNNNNNNNNNNNNNNNNNNNNNNNNNNNNNNNNNNNNNNNNNNNNNNNNNNNNNNNNNNNNNNNNNNNNNNNNNNNNNNNNNNNNNNNNNNNNNNNNNNNNNNNNNNNNNNNNNNNNNNNNNNNNNNNNNNNNNNNNNNNNNNNNNNNNNNNNNNNNNNNNNNNNNNNNNNNNNNNNNNNNNNNNNNNNNNNNNNNNNNNNNNNNNNNNNNNNNNNNNNNNNNNNNNNNNNNNNNNNNNNNNNNNNNNNNNNNNNNNNNNNNNNNNNNNNNNNNNNNNNNNNNNNNNNNNNNNNNNNNNNNNNNNNNNNNNNNNNNNNNNNNNNNNNNNNNNNNNNNNNNNNNNNNNNNNNNNNNNNNNNNNNNNNNNNNNNNNNNNNNNNNNNNNNNNNNNNNNNNNNNNNNNNNNNNNNNNNNNNNNNNNNNNNNNNNNNNNNNNNNNNNNNNNNNNNNNNNNNNNNNNNNNNNNNNNNNNNNNNNNNNNNNNNNNNNNNNNNNNNNNNNNNNNNNNNNNNNNNNNNNNNNNNNNNNNNNNNNNNNNNNNNNNNNNNNNNNNNNNNNNNNNNNNNNNNNNNNNNNNNNNNNNNNNNNNNNNNNNNNNNNNNNNNNNNNNNNNNNNNNNNNNNNNNNNNNNNNNNNNNNNNNNNNNNNNNNNNNNNNNNNNNNNNNNNNNNNNNNNNNNNNNNNNNNNNNNNNNNNNNNNNNNNNNNNNNNNNNNNNNNNNNNNNNNNNNNNNNNNNNNNNNNNNNNNNNNNNNNNNNNNNNNNNNNNNNNNNNNNNNNNNNNNNNNNNNNNNNNNNNNNNNNNNNNNNNNNNNNNNNNNNNNNNNNNNNNNNNNNNNNNNNNNNNNNNNNNNNNNNNNNNNNNNNNNNNNNNNNNNNNNNNNNNNNNNNNNNNNNNNNNNNNNNNNNNNNNNNNNNNNNNNNNNNNNNNNNNNNNNNNNNNNNNNNNNNNNNNNNNNNNNNNNNNNNNNNNNNNNNNNNNNNNNNNNNNNNUGCUCAGAUAUCACAGUGGAAGUAUUGGAGCAGGUCUUUUCUUUUCAUCUGAUUUAGAUUGGAUAGUAGAUCCAUAUAUUAGACUAUCUGUUUCAAGCUUUUUUUAUCUUUAUUGGUGACUCUAUUAUCUCAUGGAAAAUAAAGAAACAUGACACUUUUCAUUGACCUCAACUGAGGCUGGAUAUAGAGCUAUGUGUUUUGCUACAAAGGAACUUAUCUAGCUUACCAGUAUUCUGAAGGAUCUCCAUAUACUUUCACCUUUUCCAAUUUUCUUAUACUACGCGACAGGCUGCAUUUCACAUUGCAAAGACCCAUGCCUUCCACGAGAAAACGAAGAAUCUAGACCUUGAUUGUCAUAUGGUACACGAGUUAUCACAUCAUGCUUCUUAAAGACACUCUAUGUUCGAAGUGAGCAUCAACUUACAGAUGGUCUUACUAAGCCAAUGUACCCAAUUCAGUUCAUAAAUCUCACAUUUCCAAAAUGGGACGUCUUAACCUUUUACGGUAUUGGUCGAGUAAAGUUUACUUAAUUAUUUAUUUUUGGGUUUCCCGGUUCAUUCGCAAGCGACUAGGAUUGGUGGCCAAAACUCGUAAAGCUGGUAUGCGUCUGGUUUCUUUUUGUUUUAUGUUUUGUGUUCAUUGAAAGAGUGAAAUUCAAUACUGCGUCUUGCGUAUUGAAUCAGCUCGUCUUCAUGAGCCCUAAAUCUGGAUCAAAUGCUAGUAUGGACCAUUUGUGGUCCAAAAAAUCUCAUUUAGACCCAUCUUUUUUUCUUUUCAUUUUGUAUUUAAAUUUAAAUAUAAAUUUAAGUAAAAUAACUAAAAAAUCUAAAGACUUAAACAUAUUUACUUACCCAUGCCAUUAUUAUCCGAUCCAGAAUCCGACCCACCCGAAACCCGACCCAACUAACCUAAAUCUUCUUCUUCUUCUUCUCCCUUUCUUCUCCAUCGAUAGUUUUUAUUUUUUAAAAUAAAAUCAAAAAAGUUUUUCAAUUAUCCGCUAAUUUUCCCUUUUUUAUACCAAAUCGAUCAACCCAUAAUCAUAUUCAAUCAAUUAUAACUUACCCAGAAUCAAAUUUCAUCUUUUACGUACUAGAUUCAAAAUAAGAAAAACGCAGAGUAUUACUAGUAUAACUAGUACAACUCAAAUUAGUACAACUAGUAUAACUAAAACAAGUAUAACUAGUACAAAUAGAUUGAGUAUAACUAAUAUAACUGGUACAAAUACAAUGCAUAUAACUAGUACAACUUUGCAAUUAAUAUGAUGAUAUUUGGUUUUUGUUGUCAGUGCUAUAGAAGAUGAUAAUGCAGAACCAAUAAAAAUAUUGGUAUAAUCCUCCUGCUUAUAUGUGUCAAAAUAUGUUAAUAAUUUUUUUUCGAUAAUAUUUAAUUUGGAUAAUGACUUUGUUUUACUAGUUAUACUAGUGUACUAUUUAGGAAAAAAAUGCAUUUUCAUUCUUUAUGUUCUCGUAGCAAAAGAAGGUGGCUGCAAAGCUUAGGGGUGGACGUUCGGGUACCCAUUCGGAUUCAGUUCGUAUCUAUUUGGAUUUUGUGUUUUCGAGUUUAAAGAUUCUGGCUCCAUUCGGGUAUAUUAAAAUUUUGGUGCAGGUUCGUUUCGGAUCUUUGCGGGUUCGGUUCGGUUUCGAUAAUCCGUUUAAAUUAUUUUAAUAAAUUUUAAAUUCAUAUAUAAUUUAAAUUUCUCAAAAUCUAUAAAUAAAAAAAAUAUAUAACAUAAAAUUUUGAAUAAUGUAUGCUAAAAUACCUAUACUUAACCUAAAAAUUAGUUUAGCUUGAAAAUUUGGAUGGAGAAUCAAUCAAUAGACAUUUUAAGUAUUUUGGUGUUUUGAGUUAGCUAUUUUAGAUAUUUAUUUUUGACUAUUUGUAUAUAUUUUUAAAUAUUUUAGACAAUUUCAAAAUAUCUUAUACAUUUUAGAUAUUUUUUUGGAUAUUAUAUCUAAAAAUAGCUAACAUAUUCAGGUACAUAAUUCUAAUUUGGAUAUAUUCGGGUAUCUAUAAUAUUUCGGUUUGGAUCGGGUUCGGUUCUGGUUCUCUAGAUACCAAAAUUUUGAACCCAUUCGGAUAUCUAACCAAUUUUGGUUAAAGUUCAGUACUAUUCUUUGGAUCAGCUUUGGUUCGGUUUUUAUGGAUUCAGAUAUUUUGUCCAACCCUAUAUUUUUAUUGUGACAAAAUUUUAAACGAAAAUGAUGAUAAUUCAUAUUGAUUUUGGGUAUGCAACAAUUUUUAAACCAAAACACAUAUUACUAUGUACGUGAUCCAUUUAGUCAAUCAUUAAAAACUGUUCUAGGCUAAUUUAAGAAAAUGAUGAUGGUUCAUAUCGGUUCUAGGAAAAUUUCAAAAUUAAAAUAUUAAGGUCUCAAUACUCUUUCAAUGCAAGUUUAAAAAUUAACAUAUUUAUGUAUUUUUAAAUGGUACAUAGUUUAAUUUAAACAAUAUUAAUAUAAAUUCAAUGAUGUUACUGAUUUGAGAUCAAUGGUGCGUGUCUGAGUUGCUAUCUGCUAGAUAAACCUAAUAGGUUUCCUGUAUGACUAUGUCCGAAUUGACCAGAGGACUUUCAAUGUUUAAAUUCAUGUUCGUGGUGGCGAGCAGUUUUAACUUCUCACCUCUUGGUCUGUUUGUUAACAUCGAUAAAGCCUGCAAAUUUUCUUUGAUUUCUAACAUUAUGUAUUGGUGCACAGACAUAGCCUGGGAGAGGUUCUAAAUGCUCCCAACGUGAUGAAUUUGAUCAAAGAUACCAAAGCAGCAAAAGAGGUGAUUUAGAAUGUCAAUUAGCUUGAUAUUUCAAAUUUCUCACUCAGAGCUGGUUUAGCGUACACGUAUUUUUCACUGUUUUAAAUGGAUAGGAAAUGCCUAUUGAUCAACUUUUGAGUGGCCAACUCAGAAGAUGCAUUAUGAAUACUCUACUAGCAAGGAACAAGAAUGAUCUACACUAAAACAUCCUAGAACUAACCUAAUCACCCUUAAUCUCCCUAACCCAUGAAUUCAAAAGGUGAUUACUCACUAAUCUCCAUGAUUCCUCUUAAACUCAUAUUGGAUUUCAGAUUAACCAUGUAGAGAAAUAGAUAAGAAAACAACAAGAACACAAGAUGAAAGCAAUGAAAUCUGAAUCAAAAGAGGUUUUUUUUACUAGUUCUUCUCUAGAAAAAGAGAUUAUCUCUCGCUCCCCUCUUACAAAAAAUACUUAACUUAGGUUUAGAAAAUGUAAAAACACCAAAACAAAUGACCAAAAGGCCCCUGAAAUAACAUAAAAAUCGUCCAAGCAAAACACGCGGAGUGACCUAGCAUAGUCGCUCCAGGAGGUCACUCCCGACGCGUUUCUUUGUGUCUCGACCCGUCAAAACGCGAGUGACUUGAGCUGGUCGCUCUGGCUGGGAGUGACUUGAGCUAGUCGCUCUGGCUGGUCACUCUGGCUGGGAGUGACCUCGGUAGGUCGCUCUGAGAGGUCACUCUGCUGGUCGCUCUGGCUGGUCGCUCUGGCUGGGAGUGACUUGAGCUAGUCGCUCUGGCUGGUCGCUCUGGCUGGGAGCGACCUCGGUAGGUCGCUCUGAGAGGUCACUCUGCGAUGCUCGACCAGGAUGGAUAUGCCUCUAGUAAAUUGAUCAUAACUCCUUCAUUACAUCUCCAAAUGACUUGAAACCACUUCCAUUAGAAAGCUAACUCAAUUUUCUGUGUCUCCACAAAAUCUUAGCAACAGGAGAUUUCUCUAAAGGCUCCAUCCAUGCUCAUCUUUCACCUCCUUUUGGAUCACAAUGCUCCCAAACAUCUCAAAUCACUCCAUGGCACACUCCAACACCUAAUAAGGACAAUGAAUGCAAAAUGAAACCUAGACAUGACUAAAUCCUAAUCUUUAUGAUGAAAAUGCUCAUGGAUGAAUGGAUAAAACAAUGUAAAUAUGCAAGAUAUUAGGUGCCAGAAAAUUCUUCAACCAUUGCUCUAAAGACGCGAAUCACCGGAAAGAAGAAAAAAAUUGGGUUUGAUGUAUGAUUUUUGUUUUUUUUUUUGAAAAUAAUUGUUUUAAUCGUGAUGUAUUAAUACAAUUGUUAUCGACAAUUGUACAAUUUUAGUUUGUUUAUCAAGAUAAUAAUAGCUAUUAGAAAGUAACAAAAUUGCAACAAAUAAUACAAAUAAUCGGUAAAAAUAUUAAUUAAGAAUUACUUACCAAAAUAAAUCAUUUUAAUCAAAUAUUUUUUUUAAAUUACAUUUAAUUAGUAAAUGAUAUAAAUCAGCAGUUGUAAAUGAUACAUAUUUUUGAAUAACUUCUUAAAAUUGAUACUAAUUUUGUGUAAAAUGAAAUGAUGCAAAUAAUUUAUAUUUUUACAUAUUUAAAUGGGAUGAUAUAUUUAAGUUACAACAUGAUGCAUAUUUAAAAUAAUACUAAAUAAAAUAACAAGUAGUUGUACCAGUUUUCUAGUUGUACCGACUGUACAUAGUUGUACUAGUUUUUGAGUUGUACCAGUUUGUGCAUAGUUGUACUUUGGCAGUGAAAUCAUAAAAUAUUAGUUGUACCACAUAAUAAAUACAUUUACCUCAGUUGUACCACUUAUUUAUGUUUACAUGUCUUUGUCCGGUUACAAUGAAAUCAUCAAUUUUGUAAAACUACAUUUCAUGUAUGUUUUCCAAAAAUUAUGUGGACAAACACGUUAACAAACAUUAAAAGUAUAAGGUAGAUCAUGUAAACUUAUGGAAUUGUGUAAUAAUUUUUAUAUUUUUUUAAAAAACUUCAAAUUAAAUUAAGAGAAACUUUAUGAGUACAUACCAACUGGGAUAUAUGAUUGUUUUUCUCAUAUGAAAUACCAAAUUGGUUUUGUUAAUUUCUGAAACGUCGAAGUUGUACUAGUUAUACUAGUAAUACUCGUCUAAUAUAUAAUAAAAGUUAUAUAUAUAUAUAUAUAUAUAUAUAUUGUUUAUAUGUCUAGUUAUAAGGGUUGUACCAAUAUUUUCACAUCAUAGCUUUAUAAAAUAUGUUCGAUGUUUGAUUAUCAUAAAAAUAUGGCUAAUAUAGUUAAUAACCUUAAAAGUAUAAAAUAUAUAAUAUAAAAUUAAAUGUGUAAUGCAAUAAUUUAACAAAAAAUUGAAAAAUCUUAAAUGAAUUAGAUGACAUUUUUGUCAUCAUAUACCAAUUAGAAUAUUUAUUUAUUUUAUUUCAUGUGUAAAUUAUAACAUUUGUAUACUAAUUAUAUAAUUUUUUAAAAUGUUUAGUUUUACGAGUUAUACUAGUUUUACCAAUUCGAAUGAGAGAAUGAGAUAAGGAAGAUUGUAUGGAUGUGAGUGGCUGAGAUUAAAGAAAGAGAAGGAGGAAGAAUUAGACAUGUGUGAAAUUGUAUGACCAAAAUUAAAACAUAGAUGUGACGAUCCAAUGGCUCAUAUUACUCUUUCAUUAAUGGCAAAAUCGUCAUUUCCCAUGCUGUAGACUUUUUUUUAAUGCUGUAGAUUUUUUUUUGACCAUUUGGUCUAUAAGAGAAUUUUGUCCCCUAAAUCUCCACUAUAAGCUGAUGUUGAUUUAAUCUCAUCAACGCCAAACAUAGAAGUGGUUUUUCUUUAUAUUUUAUCUGUUUACGUUAAGACAGAUUACAAUCUCUUUUUAUCUCGGACCAGACAGCUCAACAGCAUGAAGAUUCUCAGUAGAAUCAAGGAUCCAAUCAGAGGUGGGAUGAGAAGACAGCUCCACUUCCUACCUGAUCAUCUUCAAGCAUUCGAACAAAGUCAGACAUCAUAGGCCGUUGCAGUGGUGAGCUCACUUGUAUGAGCUGUUCUAAUUGUGCUUCUGUGUAAUUUACGUGCAUGUCAGGAUCCACAAGCAUCUCCAGUUUCUUCUCCUUCAAAAGCCAUUUCAUUUCACAUGAGAAAGAAGAUCAAAUGAGAGAUUAAGCUUUUGAGAGUUUAUUAAUGGGCCUCUAACAGAUAAUCAAUACCGAAUCUAGAAGGCAUAAAGUCAUCGUCAUUGGCCAGCUUUGCAAGAUCAAAAAGCUCUCUAAUCUGUGAUCAGUUCCAAAAGCAUGAUCCCGUAGCCUGAGUAGAUUUCUGUGAACAGCCAUUGCUUAUCAUCUCCACUUCUGUUUGAAACUGGAGAUCACCACCUGGUGUGCGCUCUUCUUCUUCAAACCGUUUGACUGCCACAAGUGCUCCAUCAGCAAGACGGCGGCCUUUGUAGACUUUACCGAACCCACCUCGUCCCAAGAUGUUUUUUUUUUAUUGCAAAAGCUAUCAGUUGCUACUUGAAGUUCCCGUAGAGAGAACCGCUUAAGCUGCCCCAAUAUGAAUUCUACAACCCCUUUGCAACUGGUUCAGUCAUCUAUCGAAAAGGUAUGAUUGUCUUAGAAAACAAUGUAUAUAUGUGCUUCGUUUGGUGUCCAAUAAGAUUCAAGUCUCUCUUUUGCAGAAGAGGGUGAAAGCGAAGGAGCUUUCCAAGAAGACAAAUGGGCUGAGAAAGAAGUCUUGGCCUCAGACAUGGGAAGGUGUGCAGCUCUUGUUUGCAGCCAUUGACAUCAAACUAGCAACAAGGGUUUUGAGGAUGGGGAAGAUCAGUAAAGAGCAGCUACUAUGGUGUGAAGAGAAGAUGAAAAAACUCAACUUUUCUUCUGGAAAGCUUCAAAGACACCCAUCUCCUAUUCUUUUCCCUUCUUGUUGAUACUAAUAACGAGGUUGAUACAAUGAUUUCAGAUCUAGUUACCAUCUUUUUUUCAGACAAAUUAGUGAAUUGAUGCUGUGUGUUUCUAUGUGCUUAAUUAUCUUUUGCAUUAAGGUUUUAAAUCCAAGAAGAGUUGUUUUAUGGUCAAUUAGAUUCAGUAUUAUAUAUGUGUUGUCGUUUGGAUGUAAGCACAUAAGAAAGAAUCCAAUGUUGUCUUGUUGAUGGGAAGCUAGAUCUUAUGAUGGUGAUGGACAAAUCUUAUUCUUGUUCUAUCACUUUCAUUGUUUUUGGACAAAGUCUUGAUGCGUCACUAAAGAUCUUUGCUUUACCAUCAUGCUUCAUAUUUAAACCAAAUCCUAAAACUAUAAAUGAGAACAUUAUAAAUCUGUAUACUGCUUCUGUUUCUAAAGACAAUAUUAAAUUCUUGUAAAAAGUUUUUAACAUUUGAAGUUAAAUUUGUGUAAGUGGCAAAAAAGAGAAGAAAAAUAAACAAAAGUGUGUUUUUUUUUUUGGAUCAAAAAACAAGUGUGUAUUUUGGUGGUAGCAACAGGCAACAGGCAACAAAGACAGAGCCACGUGAACGUAUCUCUUUCAAUUUGAAGUCUCAACACGUGUCGAACCUAGUCAUCAAUUUUACAGGAAAUGUAAGAAGACGAAAAAGGGUUGACUGUAUCACCAUUAUCAAAGAACCAGAUUGUGGGUACUUCAGUCAUUACACAGCUAAGAGGACAUCUUCGUGUGCGAAUCCGUCGUGAUUCUUAAUUAAGUUUUGGUUAAUAUUGUUAAAAAAAGAGAACGUAAAUUAAAGAUUAAACAUCCCCAAUAAUUGUCUUCGAAAAAAUAAAAUAAAAACAAAUUAACUCUUGACUUGGUGACUCGACAUAAGCAUUGGGACAAACUUUUCAAAGGGGUUAAGUUUUAAUCUCUCUGGGUCUCAUCUCAUCUCUGCGACAAUUUCAUAUCAAGAAAAACACUUUCAUGGAGGAUUAACCAUCACCAUCAGGUAACUCUUUAACUCUUAGCUUCUGCCUAAGUUUUAUCUGGUUUUUGUUUCUUUCACAAGUUAUGCAAGGAGGAGCUAGUUUUAAAUGAAUAAAGAAGGAUAAAGUGAAGUUUCUGUUUGUUAGAAUUUUGAUCCUCGGUUAUGGACUUUUACUCUUUCUAACGAGGUUGAUGAACGAGUCCAAUACUUUUAAAAAGAUGAUCCUUGUAAGUUCUUGCUGAUGGUUGUUUGGGUUGACUAAACUUUUUAGCUUGUGAAAUGGUAGAAUCGUGUCUGAAAUUUCGAUCCUUGAUUGUCGAUUACACAUAGACUCAAAAAUAAACGUUUGAUCAUUGAAAGUUAGGGAUCAUAUCUUAUAAAGUUCUCAGCUUUUUUUUGAUUCUCUUAUGGACUAAGGUUUUAGCUUUACCUUUUUGGGUUAGGUAUUAUAUUAUGUAAUCAAUCACCUUGUCUGAAAAAUUUGAAUUUUUUUUGGUUGAUGUGUAUAGAGAGUAUGACGACGCAGAGCGCUAUGAGGAUGGUGGAAGGUGAUCAUGUAAAAAGUUGGCAGGCUUCCUCUAGGGAUACUAGUGGGAUAUUUGGUUCACAUGAUAUGGCUGUUGAAGAUUUAAGGUUCCUUAUGGAAAGAAAUAGAUUGGAUAGUAGUGGAAGUGAUCAUACAGGUAAGAUCCCUAGUAGGAGUGGAAGCGCGCCGCCUAGCAUGGAAGGUUCAUUUGCAGCUCUUAGGAAUCUCUUGAAACAUCAGGAAGGUAGUUUUAGUAGGUCUAUUGAGAAUUAUGGCUCUGAAGAAGAGAUACGUAGCGAUCCUGGUUAUGUAGCUUACUAUUUGUCCAACAUCAACCUGAAUCCGAGGCUCCCUCCUCCGUUGAUCUCACGUGAGAAUCAGCACUUGCUGCGUCAUUUGGGUGGUGAUGGUAAUAACCUGAGUCCAACAGCGUCUUGGGAUGAUAUGGGGGUAAGAUCUUCCUUGCUUGCUUCUAGAACUGCGCUUUCUACACAUAGAGAGGAGCCUGAGGACGAGGCUUCUUCUGGUGAACAGCUGACUUUUGCUUCUUUGCCUGGUCGUCGUAAGAGCUUUGCUGAUAUCAUUCAGGUACUGCUUGAUUCUAUCACUUAAUUUAAUUUUACAUUAAAGAAGAUUCUCUCUUUUAACGCUUUCUUUUGUGUUCAAGCGGCCUCAUUCGGCAGGGAACCAUCCAACAGCAGAAGACAUACAUGCCAUUUCUUCUGGUAUAGCUUCAGAAAGGACAAGAAGAGUACCAGAGUCUGAUAUAAGUGUGGUGAAUCUUCUGAGGGAGACAGAUUCUCUCUCCAUGGAGGCUAUUGCUAGUGAAGAUCCUUUUACCUCUGAGUUGAGCUCACAAAGUUCAACCAACACUCAGAAUGAGAGAUCAAAUGCGAGGGUAGGGAGCCGCGAGGACAACAAUCUAUCUGCUUUUGGUGCUUCUGGUCCAUCCUCUGCUGCUUCUAGAAUGAGGGGGAACCAAGAAGAGCCAAGGAGAAUGCCUGUGCAAUAUACGCCUUCAUCGUAUCAGGUUCAAGCUACUUCGCCACAACAAAUGACCUAUCCGAGGAUGGGUGGUGGUACACACGACAUGAUGCAGAACCUGCCUAGGAUUGCAACUGGAGAGGUACAUUCGAGUUUCCAAUCUCCUCACGGUUUGACAUCGCCUCCUAUGUAUACAUCAACAGCUGCAUAUAUGACAUCUCUGAGCCCGUUUUACAAUCAUAACUUUCAGUCCUCGGGUAUGUACCUCCCUCAGUAUGGUUAUAGCGGUUACCCUCCUGCCUCUGGUGUUGUCCCUCAGUAUAUGAGUGGAUACCCAUCUCAUGAAGCCACUGUUCCUAUGCCAUAUGAUAUCUCAUCGCCUUCUUCGGGCUACAACAACUCCUUCUCUCGUGAAUCCUUUUCACCUACUGCACAGAACACUCCUCUUCAAUCUGUUUGGUGAGAUUGGGCACCAACUUGAUCACCUCAUCAGCCUCUUCCACACGCUUACGCAGGCGUUCGAUCUCCUCCUGGACGCCUAUUACCCAAGGCUGACGAUAAUGAAAUCCAUCAGCCUUGGGGACAACAAAAAAAAACAUCAGACAACAUAAAAAAAAAAUUCUAUACUAAUAUAUGCGUCUGUUGAGGUAUCUCUUACCUCGUAGUUUAUGCAGCUGAAGAAGCGCUUCCCAGGAUGAGUGUCGUGCUCCUCCUUCACCCGAACCUCGUCAAUGAUUCUCCCACCACAGGGACAUCUUCUAGGAAUCCCAUAUUCAGAAUCUGCGACGUAUCCCAACAUGUUGCAGUACUCCUGAUGCCUCUUUGUAUCUCUUCUCUCCUCUGCGGGAUCCAUCUGAACCAGACAAGCAAACGGCUUACAACAAAAUCACAAAAUUAUAUCAUGAACGGAACCCAUAAUGGAACCCACUAUUCGAUAACAAAACGCUUCGAUCUAACCCAAAAUGAAACCCAGAUGACGAUUCGGAACCCUAGAAUCGAAACCCCCAAAACUCGAGUUUGAACCCUACCUCCAAUACCCCACUAAUCGACAACUAAACGGUUCGAUCUUACCCAAAAUGUAACCCAGAUGACGAUUUGGAACCCUAGAAUCGAAACCCCCAAAAUCGAGUUUGAACCCUAAUUUGAGAACCCCACUAAUCGACAUCAAAACGCUUCGAUCUAACGGGUAUUCACUCGACACACACCUAUUCUCGUCGAGGAGACACUCCGUCGUCGAUUCGAUGGAGAAAAGUGGAGAAACGUGAAGAAAAAUCAAAAUCGCUCGAGAGUUCGCCUCUCGGGAGAAAACCCUAGUCUUUUCUGGAAAAUGAGAAAAUGAAUUUCUCUCUGUUUUCGUCGUCGUGACGUCAACAACGCGGCGCCAAUGGAACCGUGACACCUGGCGUGAACCCGCCUCAUACCGAAUCACUUGUAAGAAGCGGGUCGCGGAAAUAAACCCAUUAAAACAUUUCUUUUUCCUAUUCGGGCCUAUGAACCCGAGCCCAUGAACCCCAUUACAACCUUCAAUGUGGAUGCUCUAAAAACUAUAAAUGAGAACAUUAUAAAUCUGAAUACUUCUUCUGUUUUUAAAGAUUAUUACUCGUAUAAUUCUUGUAAAAAUUCUAAUUAGUGGCUAAAAAGAAAAGAAGAAAAAUAAACAAAAGUGUGUAUUGUGUGUAUUUUGGUGGUAGCGAGCAAACAGGCAACAGAGACAGAGCCACGUGAACGUAUCUCUUUCAAUUACAAGUCUCAACACGUGUCGAACCUAGUCAUCACUUUUAGAACAAAUUGACGAAAAAGGGCUUGCGGUACCACCAUUAUCAAAACCAUACAGGGGGUGUUCCAGUCAUUACCUAGUUAAGAGGACGUCUUCGUGUGCGAAUCCGUCGUGAUUCUUAAUUAAGUUUUGGUUAAUGUUUUGUUAAAAUACGUAAAAAUUAAAGAUUAACAUCCCAAUAAUUGCCUUUAGAAAUUAAAGAAAAAAAACAUUAACUCUUGACUUGGUGACUCGACGAAAGCCUUGGAGACAAACUUUUCAAAGGGGUUAGUUUUAAUCUCUCUGGGUCUCAUCUCAUCGCUGCAACAAUUUCAUAUCAAGAAAAAAAAACACUUUCAUGGAGGCUUAAACAUCACCACCAUCAGGUAACUCUUUAACUCUUAGCUUCAGCCUAAGUUUUUGUGUUCUUUCACAAGUUAUGCAAGGAGCUAGUUUUAAAUGAAUAAAGAAGGAUAAAGUGAAGUUUCUGUUUAUUAGAAUUUUGAUCCUCGGUUAUAUAUGGGACUUUUACUCUUUGUAACGAGGUUGAUGAACGAGUCCAGUACUUUUAAAAAGAUGAUCCUUGUAAGUUCUUGCUGAUGGUUGUUUGGGUUGACUAAACUUUUUUAGCUUGUGAAAUGGUAGAAUCGUGUCUGAAAUUUUUCGAUCCUUGAUUGUCGAUUACACAUAGACUCAAAAAUAAACGUUGAUCAUUGAAAGUUUGGGAUCAAGUUCUCAGCUUUUUGAUUCUCUUAUGGACUAAGGUUUUAGCUUUACCCUUUUUGGGUUAGGUAGUAUUAUUAUUAUGUAAUCAAUCACCUUGUCUGAAAAUUUUGAAUUUGUUUUGGUUGAUGUAUAGAAAGUAUGACGACGCAGAGCGCUAUGAGGAUGGUGGAAGGUGAUCAUGUAAAAAGUUGGCAGGCUUCCUCUAGGGAUACUAGUGGGAUAUUUGGUUCACAUGAUAUGGCUGUUGAAGAUUUAAGGUUCCUUAUGGAAAGAAAUAGAUUGGAUAGUAGUGGAAGUGAUCAUACAGGUAAGAUCCCUAGUAGGAGUGGAAGCGCGCCGCCUAGCAUGGAAGGUUCAUUUGCAGCUCUUAGGAAUCUCUUGAAACAUCAGGAAGGUAGUUUUAGUAGGUCUAUUGAGAAUUAUGGCUCUGAAGAAGAGAUACGUAGCGAUCCUGGUUAUGUAGCUUACUAUUUGUCCAACAUCAACCUGAAUCCGAGGCUCCCUCCUCCGUUGAUCUCACGUGAGAAUCAGCACUUGCUGCGUCAUUUGGGUGGUGAUGGUAAUAACCUGAGUCCAACAGCGUCUUGGGAUGAUAUGGGGAUAAGAUCUUCCUUGCUUGCUUCUAGAACUGCGCUUUCUACACAUAGAGAGGAGCCUGAGGACGAGGCUUCUUCUGGUGAGCAACUGACUUAUGCUUCUUUGCCUGGUCGUCGUAAGAGCUUUGCUGAUAUCAUUCAGGUACUGCUUGAUUCUAUCACUUGUUUCUAAAAAUAUUAAGGAAGAUUCUCUCUUUUAACACUUUCUUUUGUGUUCAAGCGGCCUCAUUCGGCAGGGAACCAUCCAAUAGCAGAAGACAUCCAUGCCAUUUCUUCUGGUAUAGCUUCAGAAAGGACAAGAAGGUUACCAGAGUCUGAUGUAAGUUCGGUGAAUCUUCUGAGGGAGACAGAUUCUCUCUCCAUGGAGGCUAUUGCUAGUGAAGAUCCUUUUACCUCUGAGUUGAGCUCACAAAGUUCAACCAACACGCAGAAUGAGAGAUCAAAUGCGAGGGUAGGGAGCCGCGAGGACAACAAUCUAUCUGCUUUUGGUGCUUCUGGUCCAUCCUCUGCUGCUUCUAGAAUGAGGGGGAACCAAGAAGAGCCAAGGAGAAUGCCUGUGCAAUACACACCUUCAUCAUACCAGGUUCAAGCUACUUCGCCUCAACAAAUGACCUAUCCGAGGAUGGGUGGUGGUACACACGACAUGAUGCAGAACUUGCCAAGGAUUGCAACUGGAGAGGUACAUUCGACUUUCCAAUCUCCUCACGGUUUGACAUCGCCUCCUAUGUAUACAUCUACAGCUGCAUACAUGACAUCUCUGAGCCCGUUUUACAAUCAUCAUAACUUUCAGUCCUCUGGCAUGUACCUCCCUCAGUAUAAUUACGGCGGUUACCCUCCUGUCUCUGGCGUUGUCCCUCAGUAUAUGAGUGGAUACCCAUCUCAUGAAGCUACCGUUCCUAUGCCAUAUGAUAUCUCAUCGCCUUCUUCGGGCUACAACAACUCCUUCUCUCGUGGAUCCUUUUCACCUACUGCACAGAACACUCCUCUAGUGGAUCCUUUUCAGUUGCAAUAUUAUCAACAGGCUCAAGCAGAGGCAUAUGCUCCUUCAUUUGAUUCGUUCGGGAAGCAAGACCAACAAGCUGCUGGCUUUAUGGCGGCCAAUCAAGAAC